GUCCCGAGUCUCUGACACCGUUAUUUUUGGGGUCCUGGGCUGAAAAGUUUGUGAACCCCUGAGUUAACUAUAACAAUUACUUAGUUUUUUAAGGCUUUAGCCCACUAUUCAGUACAUCCACUACAUUUAAAUACUAUGAUUAUCUAUUCUGCUGUUUUUUGCUAACAGUCCUCUGUAGGUCAUCUUGAAGAUCUUUUAUUUACAGACAUGUUCACCCCACAACCUGUUUAUUCCUGUGGGAUAAAUCACUGCAACACAAGGUAUUCUUUAGGAAGAAGCUCAUCACGCUGACACAACAUCCCCGCCUCCAACGUGACGUUUCCCAGAUCUGUUUCACGUCAAACCCUGAGUUACCUGAGUCAGCGUGGAUUCCCUCCCGAGGUCCCCCAUCCUGUGUGUCAAUGUGAGCCAGACUUCAGACCAAACACUCUCUCUAAGGGGGACAAGAAGACAAAUCAAGAGUAGCCCGUCAGAGCUGACAGAUCCUCAGUCAGAAACCAGAGAGGAGAAUUAUAGAACCGCCAAUCAUGUCAACACCCACGCUGACAUCCUGCCUUCCUCAACAGCUCCUGUUUUAUAAUGGAGAUCCACCUCAGCAAACAGAGACGGCGUGGUCCGGGGGUCAUGAUGCAGACGGGCAGGGUUUCGGGGUAGGAUUGAGGUCUCUGAAGGGCUCAGAGAGACGCGGACCCUGCAGGCGAGACAGCAGCGUGGUUCGCCGGAUGCUGCUGUCCGAGUCCUGGUGGGUGAACUUGUUUCUGAGAGGACGGCAGCACGGCAUGCUGCUGGCGAAGUCCGAGAGGAGGUGCCCGCUGAAUAUCAUGUAGAUCCACGGGUUGCAGCAGCUGUUGAGGCUGGCGAGCAGAGCGGAGAGCGUCACGGCCGCGUUUUCAGAGUCUGCAGAGGGAAACAAAAACACCGAGUUAUCAGGCACGCUCGGAGAUGUCAACAGCUCAUCUGAGCUGUUUACUUUUUCUCUUUAGGGAGUUUCUCUGUGUGUUGGAGUUUCUGACCCCGUGCCUGUUACAUGUUUAUUCAGACCCAGUUUGAACCUCAGGUUUUAUUCUCUCUGGGUUUACAUUGAAGACUUACGCAACAAAGAUCUUAUCCUGUUUCUGAGAGAAGCUGCUGGAGGACAAUUCUUGAAAAUAUCUUUACCCUGCUAAUAUAAAAAAUAUAGGUUUAUAUAAGUGUUGUAGUCACGACCACGCUAACUGAGACCAAGACCAGAGACUGAGACAAGUCCAAGACCACCACUGAAAAAUCAUCAGGAGAGUUAACAAAAUAAAAGACCUCUUUUUUCUUUUUGUAAAUAUUCAAGAAAUACAUAAAGACAUUAAAUUGCAUAAAAUCUGUUUCUACAACUUGCAUUGAUUUUAAUAAUGUCUAACCCUAACCCCCCCACUAAACAUUUAUUUCCCUCCAUCCUGAGAAUAUUCGUGCACACGAAUCUUAGUCUUUCUGCACGGUUUAUAAUAAUGAUCUACUUUUAUGUCCUUUUUCAUGUCAUGUAUAAAACUCUUGUUCUGCCUUCAGCUGUAAUCUUUCCACAUUCAUGAUAAAUGCAUUUCUUUAAACACAUUUCAAA